CUCUUCCAGAUAUUUCACUUAUUCUGAAUAUUGCAAGAUACGAAUUACCAAUGCAAUAAGGAGGAGAAAUAGGCUUUUUAGCCUCGGAUGAUGGACGAUGGGAGGAGGACCAAGGUCGCAAACGGAGGAAGAGGAGUCGGUCGCCCAACGACAGAAGAGAAGUCCGUCGCAGAACAGAAGAAGAGGAGUCCAUUGCCCAGUUAUGUCCAGUGCCCAAUAUUGAUGAAAGAGCAGAAGACGGUUUAGGCUGACCCGGAUGCCGUCUUGAGACGAAGUUUGUCUCCCAUUCAACUGCAGCCACCCCUGUAAGAUGCGGAUGCAGACCGACGGGGCCCGUCAGAAGAAGAGCGCUAGGAGCCGAUUCCGCAGCCAGGAAGCCUAAUAGAGAAGGAUUUUUGUUUCUUUUUUUCCUUUUUGUCUCUUUUCCGUCUUCUCCAAUUUCCUUCAAUCUCUAACAUAACUAACUUCCUCCCCCCCUUCCCUUCCUCCCCUUUACCCUUUCCUGACCUAACUGUCUUCAU